CAUGCAGUCGAACGAUGAAGAGAGCUUGCUCUUGGAUUAGUGGCGAACGGGUGAGUAACACGUGAGUAACCUGCCCUUAACUCUGGGAUAAGCCUGGGAAACUGGGUCUAAUACCGGAUAUGACCCGUCACCGCAUGGUGGUGGGUGGAAAGAUUUUUUGGUUUUGGAUGGACUCGCGGCCUAUCAGCUUGUUGGUGAGGUAAUGGCUCACCAAGGCGACGACGGGUAGCCGGCCUGAGAGGGUGACCGGCCACACUGGGACUGAGACACGGCCCAGACUCCUACGGGAGGCAGCAGUGGGGAAUAUUGCACAAUGGGCGCAAGCCUGAUGCAGCGACGCCGCGUGAGGGAUGAAGGCCUUCGGGUUGUAAACCUCUUUCAGUAGGGAAGAAGCGAAAGUGACGGUACCUGCAGAAGAAGCGCCGGCUAACUACGUGCCAGCAGCCGCGGUAAUACGUAGGGCGCAAGCGUUAUCCGGAAUUAUUGGGCGUAAAGAGCUCGUAGGCGGUUUGUCGCGUCUGCCGUGAAAGUCCGGGGCUCAACUCCGGAUCUGCGGUGGGUACGGGCAGACUAGAGUGAUGUAGGGGAGACUGGAAUUCCUGGUGUAGCGGUGAAAUGCGCAGAUAUCAGGAGGAACACCGAUGGCGAAGGCAGGUCUCUGGGCAUUAACUGACGCUGAGGAGCGAAAGCAUGGGGAGCGACAG
rnacentral:rRNA from 1 species